CAACCUUCCUACAAGUGGGGAAUAGCCCAGAGAAAUUUGGAUUAAUACCCCGUAACAUAUAGAUGUGGCAUCACAACUAUAUUAUAGCUUCGGCGCUUGUUGAUGGGUGUGCGGCUGAUUAGAUAGUUGGCGGGGUAACGGCCCACCAAGUCUACGAUCAGUAGCUGAUGUGAGAGCAUGAUCAGCCACACGGGCACUGAGACACGGGCCCG
rnacentral:rRNA from 1 species